AUUGAACGCUGGCGGCAUGCCUUACACAUGCAAGUCGAACGGUAACAGGUCUUCGGAUGCUGACGAGUGGCGAACGGGUGAGUAAUACAUCGGAACGUGCCCGAUCGUGGGGGAUAACGAAGCGAAAGCUUUGCUAAUACCGCAUAGGAUCUACGGAUGAAAGCAGGGGACCGCAAGGCCUUGCGCGAACGGAGCGGCCGAUGGCAGAUUAGGUAGUUGGUGGGAUAAAAGCUUACCAAGCCGACGAUCUGUAGCUGGUCUGAGAGGACGACCAGCCACACUGGGACUGAGACACGGCCCAGACUCCUACGGGAGGCAGCAGUGGGGAAUUUUGGACAAAGGGCGAAAGCCUGAUCCAGCCAUGCCGCGUGCAGGAUGAAGGCCUUCGGGUUGUAAACUGCUUUUGUACGGAACGAAAAGACUCUGGUUAAUACCUGGGGUCCAUGACGGUACCGUAAGAAUAAGCACCGGCUAACUACGUG
rnacentral:rRNA from 1 species